CUAAUCAAGCCCGGAGAUAGCUGGUUCUCCUCGAAAGCUAUUUAGGUAGCGCCUCAUGUAUCACCACCGGGGGUAGAGCACUGUUACGGCUAGGGGGUCAUACCGACCUACCAACCCGUUGCAAACUCCGAAUACCGGUGAGUGCAAUCAUGGGAGACACACGGCGGGUGCUAACGUUCGUCGUGGAGAGGGAAACAACCCAGACCGCCAGCUAAGGUCCCAAAUAUCAGUUAAGUGGGAAACGAUGUGGGAAGGCUCAGACAGCUAGGAAGUUGGCUUAGAAGCAGCCAUCUUUUAAAGAAAGCGUAAUAGCUCACUAGUCGAGUCGGCCUGCGCGGAAGAUUUAACGGGGCUAAACUGAUAACCGAAGCUGCGGACGCAUACUUGUAUGCGUGGUAGAGGAGCGUUCUGUAAGCCGUUGAAGGUGCAUUGUAAAGUGUGCUGGAGGUAUCAGAAGUGCGAAUGCUGACGUGAGUAACGAUAAAGCGGGUGAAAAACCCGCUCGCCGGAAGAUCAAGGUUUCCUGUCCAACGCUAAUCGGGACAGGGUUAGUCGGUACCUAAGGCGAGGCCGAAAGGCGUAGUCGAUGGAAAACAGGUUAAUAUUCCUGUACCGCUAUAUACUGCGAUGGGGGGACGGAGAAGGCUAGGUGAUCAGGGCGAUGGUUGUCCCUGUACAAGCUUGUAGGGAGAUCUCUUAGGUAAAUCCGGGAGAUCAUUAUCCUGAGGAGUGAUGUCGAGCUCAAUUGCGAGCGAAGUCAUUAAUGCCAUGCUUCCAAGAAAAGCCUCUAAGCUUCAGGUAUAUAGAGACCGUACUCCAAACCGACACAGGUGAUCAGGUAGAGAAUACCAAGGCGCUUGAGAGAACUAUGGUGAAGGAACUAGGCAAAAUGGUGCCGUAACUUCGGGAGAAGGCACGCCGAUUUUAGUGAUGGGAUUUACUCCCUAAGCUGAGGUUGGCCGCAGAGACCAGGCCCCUGCGACUGUUUAUCUAAAACACAGCACUCUGCAAACUCGUAAGAGGAAGUAUAGGGUGUGACGCCUGCCCGGUGCCGGAAGGUUAAUUGAUGGGGUUAGCUUCGGCGAAGCUCUUGAUCGAAGCCCCGGUAAACGGCGGCCGUAACUAUAACGGUCCUAAGGUAGCGAAAUUCCUUGUCGGGUAAGUUCCGACCUGCACGAAUGGCGUAACGACGGGGGCGCUGUCUCCACCAUAGACUCAGUGAAAUCGAAAUCGCGGUGAAGAUGCCGUGUUCCCGCGGCUAGACGGAAAGACCCCGUGAACCUUUACUAUAGCUUGGCACUGAACUUUGAAUCUAUCUGUGUAGGAUAGGUGGGAGGCUUUGAAGCGUUAUCGCUAGAUAGCGUGGAGCCACCCUUGAAAUACCACCCUGGUAUAUUUGAGGUUCUAACUCUGACCCAUUAUCUGGGUCGAGGACAGUGUCUGGUGGGUAGUUUGACUGGGGCGGUCUCCUCCCAAAGAGUAACGGAGGAGCGCGAAGGUACACUCAGCAUGGUCGGAAAUCAUGCUAUGAGCGCAAAGGUAGAAGUGUGCUUGACUGCGAGACUGACACGUCGAGCAGGUACGAAAGUAGGUCUUAGUGAUCCGGUGGUUCUGUAUGGAAGGGCCAUCGCUCAACGGAUAAAAGGUACGCCGGGGAUAACAGGCUGAUUCCUCCCAAGAGUCCACAUCGACGGGGGAGUUUGGCACCUCGAUGUCGCCCUAUAGUGAGUAGAUCGGAAGAGCGUCGUGUAG
rnacentral:rRNA from 1 species